rnacentral:rRNA from 1 species
UACGUAGGGGGCAAGCGUUGUCCGGAAUCAUUGGGCGUAAAGCGCGUGUAGGCGGUCCGGUAAGUCCGCUGUGAAAGUCGGGGGGCUCAACCCUCGGAUGGCCGGUGGAUACUGUCGGGCUUGAGUACGGAAGAGGCGAGUGGAAUUCCUGGUGUAGCGGUGAAAUGCGCGGAUAUCAGGAGGAACACCAAUUGCGAAGGCAGCUCGCUGGGACGUUACUGGACGCUGAGACGCGAAAGCGUGGGGAGCAAACAGG